rnacentral:rRNA from 1 species
GCUCAGUAACACGUCGAUAAUCUUCCUUGAAGUCUGGGAUAAUCUUGGGAAACUGAGGGUAAACCCAGAUAUGGAAAAGAUACUGGAAUGUACUUUUCUUCAAAAGCAAUGCUUCAAGAUGAGUCGGCGGCGGAUUAGGUCGUUGGUGAGGUAAUGGCUCACCAAGCCGAAGAUCCGUAGGGGCCUUGAGAGAGGUUGCCCCGAGAGGGACACUGAGAUACUGGUCCCAGCCCUAAGGGGUGCAGCAGUUAAGAGUUCUUUACAAUGCGCGCAAGCGUGAUAAGGGGAUUCUGAGUGCUCAGGUUUAACCUGGGCUUUUACCAAGAGUAAAUAUCUUGGAGAAUAAGUGGUGGGCAAGACUGGUGCCAGCCGCCGCGGUAAUCCCAGCGCCACAAGUUGCAACCACGCUUAUUGGGUCUAAAGCAUUCGUAGCCGGCUUUUUAAAUUUCCUGUGAAAUCGUCGCGCUCAACGUGACGGCGGGCAGGGAAGACUGAAAAGCUUGGGACCGGGAGAGGUAAGAGGUAUUCCAGGGGGAGCGGUAAAAUGUUUUAAUCCUUGGAGGACCACCGAUGGCGAAGGCAUCUUACCAGGACGGCUCUGACGGUGAGGAAUGAAAGCUAGGGGAGCGAACCGGAUUAGAUACCCGAGUAGUCCUAGCUGUAAACGCUGCAUGCCAGAUGUUCCACAAUCUUCGAGAUUGCGGAGUGUCGAAACGAAGGUGUUAAGCAUGCCACCUGGGAAUUACGGUCG